GUCGGGAUGGUCGAGCGGUCUAAGGCUCUGCGUUCAGGUCGCAGUCUCCCUGGAGGCAUUGGUUCCAAUCCCACUUCUGACA
rnacentral:tRNA from 1 species